rnacentral:rRNA from 1 species
UACGUAGGGGGCAAGCGUUGUCCGGAAUCAUUGGGCGUAAAGAGCGUGUAGGCGGCCAGAUAAGUCCGCUGUGAAAACUCGAGGCUCAACUUCGAGCUGUCGGCGGAAACUAUCUGGCUAGAGUCCGGAAGGGGCGAGUGGAAUUCCUGGUGUAGCGGUGAAAUGCGCAGAUAUCAGGAGGAACACCAAUGGCGAAGGCAGCUCGCUGGGACGGUACUGACGCUGAGGCGCGAAAGCAUGGGGAGCGAACAGG